rnacentral:rRNA from 1 species
AGGAUGAACGCUGGCGGCGUGCCUAAUACAUGCAAGUCGAGCGCCCCCUUGCGGGGAGCGGCGGACGGCUGAGUAACACGUAGGAACGUACCCCAAAGUGAGGCAUAAGCACCAGAAAUGGUGUCUAAUACCGCAUGUGCUCUUCGGAGUAAAGCUACGGCGCUUUGGGAACGGCCUGCGCAUGAUUAGCUAGUUGGUGAGGUAAUAGCUCACCAAGGCGACGAUCAUUAGCUGGUCUGAGAGGAUGACCAGCCAGACUGGGACUGAGAACGGCCCAGACUCCUACGGGAGGCAGCAGUAGGGAAUCUUCCACAAUGGGCGAAAGCCUGAUGGAGCAACGCCGCGUGCAGGAUGAAGGCCUUCGGGUCGUAAACUGCUUUUAUCUGUGACGAAUAUGACGGUAGCAGAUGAAUAAGGAUCGGCUAACUCCGUGCCAGCAGCCGC